AAAUGAUUCACAUGCAUAAAAAUUAUGGAAAACAAUGUAUUUAUUAGUUUCUCAGUAGCUUUUAUUUUUUAUUAUAAUGAUUUUUAUUAUUGUACAUUAAAAACGGAUGUCUAAGGAGGCUGAGGCAGGAGAAUUGCCUGAACCCGGGAGGCGGAGGUUGCGGUGAGCCAAGAUCGUGCCAUUGCACUCCAGAAUGGGUAAAAAGAGCGAAACUCCGUCUCAAUAAAAAAAAAGUGUGUGUAGGUGAUAGGAUAUACUAAAGUAAGAGCUUGGGUAAAACAAAAGCUUAACUAAGAGUUACUCUAUCACACAUUUGUUAUUUUAAUAGAAACACCGUUAUAAAAGCCUGUUCAACUUCCAUUUUAGGUUCAAUGCACUGAAAAGUUCAGACUGAAAGUUUUUCUCUUCGGUAUGGUUGUAGUUCAAAAGUAUACACUUUUCAUAAGUUUGAGUCAUAUUGUUUACAGGUGGACUUAAAUUUGUGACCCAAGAAAUACUACUGAAAUGUAUACAGUUGGGAAUAAAAUGCCUAAAAAACAGUCAGUACCAAAAACAUAUUUUUAAAAAGUAUAACGAUUACUCUUAUCUUUAAUGUAAUGAUGGAUUUAUUAGAUAAGGGAAUACUAGAAUCAAUGUGCCUUCUAUUAUAAAUUCAAUAAAUUGUUUGAUGAAAUGCCAUACAGCACAGCACAAAAAAAAUCAAUUUCAAAAUACCAUUAUUUAAAUGGUAUUUAUUUAAAAGGCAAACAAGGUCAGAGAUAAAAUAGAUUAGAUAUAAAAGUUACUCUAAGUUUGAUUGGUAAAUAGUCUUUCCACUUUCUGUGCUUUUUGGCAUGCUACAUAAACUAUUAUUAUAACAACAGUAUAGUGAAGGAUUGUUGUCAUUUUCCUCCCCAACUAGACUACAGAUCUUUCAAAUCAGAGAACCACACUUAUUCAUCUCUGGAUUUUCAAUUCUUAAUAAAUGCCUCUGAGAAAAAAAUCCAGCACAUGAAGAUUUGGUUUCAAUUUAUGUUUUUUUCUUUGAAGAGGAGGAGCCAACAAUAUAGAAGUCAUUAUGGCUCUGGAUAUUCAAAGAUGUGAAAAAUGUUAAGGACAAUUUACCCUAUCUUUAACAGUUUUCAAUGUUGUUGAAAUACACAGACAUCAGAGAAAUCAUAUGGAAACAUCACCUUUACUUUAUAAUGAGGAAACAAGCUGAGAGCUCUUCCAUGCCUUAAUUCCUAUUUCAUUGUUAUUUAUGCUAAAGUAUGACACUGUCUAUCAUUUAUAAUUUGACA
rnacentral:lncRNA from 1 species